AGCUGGAGGGGACCCCUGCUAGUGGGGAGAGGGGAGCUCCGUCCUCCUGCCCUAUUCACUCAGCCUCCGGGCUGAGCCUGCCAGCAAAGGGAGCUGCGGCGUGCCAGUUGUGGGGAUGGAGUUAAUGAUGCAGGCACCUGUCCACCAAGAACUGGGCUGAGACAGACCAACCUGUCUGUUUACAUGCAUGGCCUCCAUUACCAGAGGGCCUGAGGGCCUCACAGUUGGUCAUGUAUUUGUCCUCACGGCACCCCCGUUCAGGGCUGUUCUCUCCCAGUUACAGAUCAGGGAGCUGAGGCACAGGGAAAUCGACUGACUCACCCAGUGGCAGAGCCGGGUGGGACUUAAACGUCCUAACCUUCAUUUCACACAGGCCACCAAAGAGCCCUCAAAUGGCACCAACUUGAAGUCCUCAUCAGCCUAGGCUGGAUUCAGGCUGGGGAGGUGACCAUGAAAAGCUCCCUCUCUCUCUGACCCAGCCAGCCCUUCCCCUCCACCCAUGUAAAACCCAGCGUGAGCCCUCUGAGAGGUGGCCGGCUCCGUUUGUUUUAAUGAGAUUUUGUAUCUUUGGAGAGCGCAAUCCCCUUAGAGAGGUUGGGUUGACCCGAUCAUGGGUAAACGUUGUCCCCCAGCUGGUUUAUGUCCCUUGAUCGGGUAUUUGUUUGAAUGGAUUUCACUGAGCUUUCUGGGCAGGAAAAUAAUCUCCUCCUAAAGCUUAGCCAGCCUGCAGGUUGGCGCUGUAGUAAGCCAGGGGGUGGUAGGCAUGCUUAUGCCGAGGUCUGCCUAGGAGAGCCCUCCCUCCACCUCCCUGCCAGGGAAUGAGCCUGUGAGGAGGAGACUGACGAGUCUGCCAAGCUGCCCUAGCACAAGACAUUGCUAUACAAACACUGGUUUUGAUCCUGAGCUCACUUCUCCAGCGCUAGCUGAGGAAGGAGAGUUGCAGCUGACUCAUAACCCCUGGGGUUUGGAAGAUCCAGGCCGGAUCACCGAGCAGAGGAAUAUUUGACCCAUCUCUUGGGCCUUCCAUCUAAGGGCAUCACAAAGCCCUUUACAAACAUUAACUAAUGAAAUUAAAUCUCUCAACCCUUCCUCCUACCUUGUGGCAGAUAUUAUUGUUUUCCCCAGUUUACAAAUGGGGCUACUGAAGUCUAGGAGAUCCAGUGACUUGACCAAGGUGUCAGGACCAGGGAUAGAACCCAGGAGUCCUAGCUCCCAGACCCCAGCUGUAACUGCUGUGCUUCACUGUAAUGAUCCAUUAUGUAAGCUGAUUUUAUGUAUGGCUAAUCGGUUUACAAACCACAGCUUGCUUUUCUUCCUCCUGGGAGAUCUCUCUGACCAGCAGCAGUUCUGGGAUGACGAGCUGUCUGUCUGUCUGAGGAGCAUUAAACACAUGGCCGACUUACGCUUCAGAAAAGUGACUGAGCUUUCACCCUGUGGCGUGGUUCCCCUGCACCACCCCUGCUUUAAUGAAAGGCUGUAGGAGGGAGGGGAUGCUUCCCAGCGGGAGGGGAGAGUGGAGGACCCACCCUCAGGUCAGAGGACUCAGUACUCCAACUUUGGACCUGGCUGCGCUUGGGAGAUGGAGCAGAAGGGAGAAGACAGCCUGGGAGCAAGGUGCAUGAAAAGGGCCAUUUAGGUGCAGAGCCCAGGUUGAGGGAGAUGAAGGACCAAAAUAAGGGGGUUGGGGAGAAAUAGCGACAUCCAAAAUGGAGCUGUUCAGAGAAAGCCCUGAUACGCAGCUGUGAUACGCAGCCGGGCAGAUGUUACACAUCUGGGAAGGCAGUACGGUGCCAGAGGGCUUGAUUCAAAGCUCUUUGCCCUGCCUUCGCUGGGCUUUGGAUCAGGUCAGGAGAGCACCAUGCAGCAAUGUGGCAUGUUUGGCCCUGUAGGUGCGCCCAAGCCCAGCCUGACGUGUUUGGGGCAGGUUUGGGCUGUACUGUCAUGCGGGUCGGAGCAUGAUGGGGUGGAGAUUGGUAGCCAUGGACUUGUAUUCGAGGAAGGGAGCGGGUAAUUCAGAGAGUGACCAUGCCUCUGUGGUUCUCUGCAGGUGCCCGAGUUAUGCUGAUGAGGGCUCCGCACUAAGGCUGGCAGAGAGACAUGAGUAACGACACGGGCCAGCGCACCGCAAUCUUCGUGGUUCUCUUUGCUUUGAUCAUGCUGCUGAUCAUCUACAGCUCGAACAGCGGGAACGAAGUUUUUCACUACACUGCCCUGCGGGGGAAAUCCCACCGUCCCCCCAACUUCAGGAAAUGGGGGGUGAAAAGUGGAUACCUCCCCAUCUAUGGAAACAAGACCCUGAAUUCCCAUUGCCACCGGUGUGUGAUCAUCACCAGCUCCAGCCACCUGCUUGGGAGCAAACUGGGCUCAGAGAUCGACCAAUCGGAGUGCGUCAUCCGCAUGAACGACGCCCCCACCACCAGCUAUGAGGCAGACGUGGGCAACAAGACCACGGUCCGGGUGGUGGCUCACUCCAGCGUCUACAGGGUGCUGAAGAGGCCACAAGAGUUCGUCAACAAGACCCCGGAGACCAUCCUCAUCUUCUGGGGGCCGCCCAGCAAGAUGCAGAAGAGCCUGCUCAAGAUCCUCCAGCGCGUCAGCAUGUCCUUCCCCAACAUGUCGGCCUACGUGGUCUCCCCCGGGCGCAUGAAGCAGUUCGACGACUUGUUCCGGGGAGAGACCGGGAAGGACAGGGAGAAGUCCCGGUCGUGGCUGAGCACAGGCUGGUUCACCAUGGUGAUCGCCGUGGAGCUGUGUGACAAGGUGCAUGUUUACGGGAUGGUCCCCCCUAACUACUGCAGCAGGAGACCUCAGCCCGGCAAGAUGGCAUAUCACUACUACGAGCCCAAGGGCCCGGACGAGUGCACCACCUACAUCCACAAUGAGCGCAGCCACAAGGGCAACCACCACCGCUUCAUCACGGAGAAACGGGUCUUUGCCAGCUGGGCCAGCCUCUACAACAUCACCUUCUCCCACCCGGCCUGGGACUAGGGGCUCCCCGAGGAGACAUGGAGCCAUUCGAGUGCCCAACCCAGCAGCUGGUGCCAGUAGUGGGAUAACUCCACCUGGAUGGGAAAACAUCUCUUGGAUUAACCCUGUGAGCCAGGCUGGGCUCUGAGGGAGGAGGCCCCACACUACAGGCUGUCCAGGGCCAGAAGGCCUGGGUGAGGGGAGGAAGGGACUGGCACGGUGCCAGUGACCUGACCUGCAGUCCCAAGGCCCAGGGAGUCCUGCUACGCACCGGGCACUGCUGGAUUCAUGGUGUCCCCUUCCCCCCGACAGGCCACACACCUAGUGCACAUCGCUGGCUCCCUGCUUUGAGGUCACCUCACUCCCUUGCCGGCGAUCGGCUCAGAGGCCCGAGAGUGAGUGGGAACAAUCACUGGCGUCCCAGAUGGAACGGCCGACCCCUACUUAGUGCUCUGGGUGGCGGCUCUGGUCUCGCCUCUCUUGGCUUCUGGAGAAUGUAUUUCCGAGGUGGGAGGACUGUAACCCUCUCAGCUCUGCUAGGCUCAGCUUGAUACUGAGUACCCGGAAGGGUAUAUCUGCUGUGCAGUGCGACCCUGCUCCAGGCAGCCUCUGCCUUGGGAAACUGCCGCCUGCGUCUCCAAGUUUCCAGUGAGGCCUAUAAGACACCAGCCUCUGGGGCGGAGACUUCUCAGGGCAGUUCUCGUGAAUUCCUGCUUUCCUGCUGCUGCUUCUGGGACCAUUGGCACUGCCUCCCCAACACGCACACCUCUUGCCAAUGAAACGUCUGCACAGGGAGAGCGAGUGGCCAUGUGGUAAGAGAGGGCAGCAAUACUGUGGAAGUGGAAAUUAUACCCUCAGCAUCUCAAACCAGGAGCACUUUUCGCUGCCUCCCGUGUUCUGUCUGUCUGAUCGCUGUUCUGCCUGGCUGCCUCUGACCCCUGCCACUGGAUCUGUUAUGCCCCAGGUUACUGAGAGCUUAAAUUAAGAUGUUGAGACUUGAUAGUAAGCACUGAUCAUGACUGCAUGGGAGGGGUCUCCACUCCGUGCUUGCUGCACACGGCUGCUUCCGUGUACACGCACAGCUGAGGGGACCGUGUGUGGGUGUCAGACAUGGCUCUGUUCUUAGUGUAGAUCCCCUUAGGCUUGAUCCCUGUUGCCUCAGGGUAGAGUAGGUGUGAAAUGCUCCUGUUAUGGUUUGGAGUUACUCAGUUCUGGGGGAAAUCAUAGGACUGGCAGGGAGCUUGAGAGUCAGCUGGUCCAGUCCCCUGCACUCAUGGCAGGACUAAGUGUUCUUUAGACCAUCCCUGACAGGUGUUUGUCUAACCUGCUCUUAAAUGACAGCACAAGGUGUAGGCAAUGCAGAAUCAUGGAUUGAGAUUAAUAGAUUUGGGCCCCUUGUGUUUACUCCCACGCUCUCCCUCUGUCCUGCUCUCAUAGCCCCAGCCCACAUCUGCCAUUUCUCAUGGUCAUUUUCCCUCUCUGCCUUCCCCAGCAAUUCAGGGGCUGCAUGAAAGGUGCACUUCAGCUUGGGGCCAUCAGCUGCUUUCUAGUCACCCACCAGGUUGGGUUUUGCCCUUCCCUGGUCCUCGGCAAUAGCUGCUGAAAAUCUCCAAGUUACAAAAACAAACACUAAAAGCCUGCAGUAUUUUUUUUAACUGCCCAAAACACGGUGGGCCAGAUCCUCGCUCAAGCAAAACUCCCCUCUGCAACCAGUGGGACGUUUGUCUGGGGCAGGGCUGCAGGAUUGGGCCCUGGAGUAACCUGACUGUGAACUGGUUACAGCGCAGGGGCCUGACUCUGAUCCCGUGUCCACCAGGGUGAAUCAGCAGCCAGCCUGCUCAAGCUGAACCAGGGUAAAUGAGGUCAGACUCCAGCCCCGUGUCUGUAGAAUACGGCAGCAUUUUCUUUGAAAACAAGGGAGAGACUGAUAGACGUGCCGGAGGAAAAACCAUCAGCUCUGUGCUCCACCUCUGGGGGUUGAAUGGGGGCACAUCUCCCCGCAGCAGAGAAAUUCUCCACGCAGCCCUGGAGUGGAAUUGCAUCGUGGCUGUGAGAGCUGGGAGCAGAUCCCCCCCACCCCCUAUUACUCUGACACCCACAGGUGGGAAUGGCCCUUGUGCAGUUGUCUUGAUCAUGGCUGGUAUCGCAAGCGGUGACUCCCGCCCUGCACUUUGGGAGGGGAACACAGGCAGGAGCGUGAUGGCAAGGAGGUGGGAAGGGGACCUUGAAACUUACAAAUGCCCCUUGGUGGAGAAAAUGCCUUUCCCCCCCCCCCCCACCCCGCAGAAGAUCAGCUAAAUCUAUAUCCACUGACAUGAACAAACUCUGCUCUUGGUUACUACAGUCAAUGGAGAUGCUCUGGAUUUACACCAGUGUGACUGAGCCUCGUGUGACCCCUGAUAGUCAGGACACAGGAAGCAAACUGUGCCCAGCAGUGUGUCACCAGCUGUGACCUCGCUGGGCACCAUGGUGCCUAUUCUACACAUCACUGCCACCCUAGAGGAUGUAGCUUUGGAAAAGACUCCACAGCCAGUGGAGAAGUCCUGGCCACCCUUCCGCACAAAGGCUAUGGAGCUGCUACUUUCCCACCAUAGCCAGGACCUUUGGGGGUGUUCGAAGCGACACGGUUGAGAUGUUUUGGGUGGGGGGGAGGGAGUGGGUUUUUCCCCCCUGGUCCUUGUAUUUGUAUCGGUGUCCUAAAAUAGUUGUGUUAAUAUAUUUUAAAAACCACUUCACAAGAAGCAGGGUGAGAUAUGGAGGCUUAGAGGCAAACCCAACUGGGUGCCUGGUACCUGCAGCUCCACUGAUGUCAGCUUGCCAGUCUGACCCCCAUCUACAUCACUGGGAGUCAUGGGUGCUCAGCACCCGUGUGGGCCAGGCCAGGCCUUCAAAGGGAUCGAAUGCUGUUAGGUGCCUUGCUCCCCUAAUGUGUUUUGGACCCUUUGGAAAGCCCAGCCGUACAUGUUGUACUGUGCUGGCAAAUUCUGCAAAACCCGAUAGGGUUCUGGAGAAUGCAGUAAAGGAAGUAGGGUUGUUCCCCUUUUGGUUUGAUUUUCUCUUUGCUGCUACUCUUCUGUGCUUCUGUAAACAGCCGAUCUGCUUAAACUCCUCCACGAAUGAUCCUUUGAACAGAACUGUCAAGUCGCUCGGCUGGGUAGCCCCUAUAAAAAUCAGUCACUCUUGAAUAUAAAAUUGCAUUUAUAAAGGGUUAAUAAAUGAUUAAUAGAAGCCUGUUCUGUACACAAGUAGCAUGAAUUAGAAGCAGAUCAGUAGAAGGCAUAUGUAUAGUAAUGAGCCCUGGUUAUAAGCAACCUAUUAGGCUCUCUAAUAACCAUGGCGUAGCCAUUUAUGAGCACAUCUGUUAAUCAUUUAUUAACCCUUUAUAAACUAUACAUGGAACCUGGAUAGAAAAUGUGAUGUAAAUACCUGGAUGGUAACAUAACAGCAUGUGGUUGUACCAUUUAAUGGGAGACGUUUGCUAUAAAAAUAACUAGCAAUGCAAAUAAAUGGGGUGCUGAGGUUUGCUUCCCCCCCCCACCUCUCUCCAUUGCUUGGGCUGUGGAAGAACUUGGCAAUGCAGUUUCUUCCCCUCCCAGUUCCAUCCUUUCCCAGCUGGCAAGCGGAGCCAUUUUCCAGUGUUUUGAAUGGCUCUCGACACUGCCUCUUGAUUUAACAGUAGCAUUAACCUCUGUGGCACCUUAUCUGACCACAACAUCCUUUUUUGUACAGGAGCUGCACGGAUGGUGUCACAACAGCAUGGGGGAAAGCAUUUGUUCAUUUGCUCCUGCUGCAGUGCAGGCAGCCAGAGGAACAUGUGAUGUUUUGCUUGUAGAUCCACAGAUAGUGACUACUGGCUUUUUUUUUUCUUCUUCCCUUUUUAAUCAAUUUUUCAGUCCUGGAUUUAAAAAACCAAACACAUGGGGGUACUAAGAAUCCAAUUGGCUUAUGUUCAAACGCAGCCUGACAGGACUCCUGGAUUCUGUUCUUGAUGCUGCAGCCUCCCCGUGCCUCAGUUUCCCACCGGUCAAAGGGGAGUUAUGAUCGUAAUAGAGCUCACAGGGGCAUUGUGAGGCUUAAUUCACUGUGUGAGAUCCUCACAUACAUGGUGUGCAAAGGUUUCUUAGAGCCUGGUUAGAUUAUACCAAUGUAAAAGUGUUCAUUGUUGAGCCUAGACUACCUGCCAGAGCCCCUUUAAGGGGUUCAAAUACUAGAAUGCCCAGGCUUGGAUGAUUUAGUUUAGAGGUUUUUAAGGUCAGGCUUGACAAAGCCCUGGCUGGGAUGAUUUAGUUGGGUUUGGUCCUGCUUUGAGCAGGGGGGUUGGACUAGAUACCUCCUGAGGUCCCUUCCAACUCUGAGAUUCUAUGAUUCUAAAGGAGCACAAUCACUCUGUGCCGGAUCCUCAGCUCAGCUAGCCUGGGGGCAGGCCCUCUCUGACUGCAGGUCCCCUCACUCAGCACGGAGGCCCGGAUCCUCGUGAGCUGCUGUGAAGUGUCAGCAUAACACAUCUGGUAGCCUGGACCUGUGUUACUGCUUCCUAGGGACCCCCUGUAUCUGGGAUUGUCUCAAAUCAGCAAGGAGUGAAUGUUUUGUAACGAUUUGUAGGGGAAUAAAUAUUGCUAUGA